rnacentral:miRNA from 1 species
UUGGGUUGGCCAAAAAGUUCAUUGGGUCUUUCUAUACCAUCUUACAGAAAAACCUGAAUGAACUUUUUGCCAACCCA